rnacentral:rRNA from 1 species
AUUGAACGCUGGCGGCAUGCCUUACACAUGCAAGUCGAACGGCAGCACGGGUGCUUGCCCCUGGUGGCGAGUGGCGAACGGGUGAGUAAUACAUCGGAACAUGUCCUGUAGUGGGGGAUAGCCCGGCGAAAGCCGGAUUAAUACCGCAUACGAUCUACGGAUGAGAGCGGGGGACCUUCGGGCCUCGCGCUAUAGGGUUGGCCGAUGGCUGAUUAGCUAGUUGGUGGGGUAAAGGCCUACCAAGGCGACGAUCAGUAGCUGGUCUGAGAGGACGACCAGCCACACUGGGACUGAGACACGGCCCAGACUCCUACGGGAGGCAGCAGUGGGGAAUUUUGGACAAUGGGCGAAAGCCUGAUCCAGCAAUGCCGCGUGUGUGAAGAAGGCCUUCGGGUUGUAAAGCACUUUUGUCCGGAAAGAAAUCCUUGGCCCUAAUACGGUCGGGGGAUGACGGUACCGGAAGAAUAAGCACCGGCUAACUACGUG